GGAGGGGUGCCUGAGUGGUUGAAAGGGACGGUCUUGAAAACCGUUAUACUGGAAACAGUAUCGUGGGUUCGAAUCCCACCCCCUCCG
rnacentral:tRNA from 1 species